rnacentral:rRNA from 1 species
UAUCAAUAAGCGGAGGAAAAGAAACUAACAAGGAUUCCCCUAGUAACUGCGAGUGAAGCGGGAAAAGCUCAAAUUUAAAAUCUGGUGGCCUUUGGUCAUCCGAGUUGUAAUUUAGAGAAGCGUCUUCCGCGCUGGACCGUGCACAAGUCUCCUGGAACGGAGCGUCAUAGAGGGUGAGAAUCCCGUCUUUGGCACGGACAUGCCAGGGCUUUUGUGAUGCGCUCUCGAAGAGUCGAGUUGUUUGGGAAUGCAGCUCAAAAUGGGUGGUGAACUCCAUCUAAAGCUAAAUAUUGGCGAGAGACCGAUAGCGAACAAGUACCGUGAGGGAAAGAUGAAAAGCACUUUGGAAAGAGAGUGAAACAGUACGUGAAAUUGUUGAAAGGGAAACGCUUGAAGUCAGUCGCGUCGACCGAGACUCAGCCUUGCCUUGGCUUGGUGUACUUCUCGGCUGACGGGUCAGCAUCAAUUUUGCCCCUUGGAUAAUGGCGAGGGAAAUGUGACACCUUUACGGUGUGUUAUAGUCUCUUGUCGCAUGCAAGGGUUGGGAUUGAGGAACUCAGCACGCGCCUUUGGGUGUCGGGGUAUUCGCCCACGAUACGUGCUUAGGAUGUUGGCGUAAUGGCUUUAAACGACC